rnacentral:rRNA from 1 species
UUUUAUCAGAGAGUUUGAUCCUGGCUCAGGAUGAACGCUGGCGGCGUGCUUAACACAUGCAAGUCGAGCGAAGCGGCUGAAUUGAUUCUUCGGAUGAUUUUCGGUUGACUGAGCGGCGGACGGGUGAGUAACGCGUGGGUGACCUGCCCCAUACCGGG